GACGAACGCUGGCGGCGUGCCUAAUACAUGCAAGUUGAGCGCUGAAGGUUGGUACUUGUACCAACUGGAUGAGCAGCGAACGGAUGAGUAACGCGUGGGGAAUCUGCCUUUGAGCGGGGGACAACAUUUGGAAACGAAUGCUAAUACCGCAUAAAAACUUUAAACACAAGUUUUAAGUUUGAAAGAUGCAAUUGCAUCACUCAAAGAUGAUCCCGCGUUGUAUUAGCUAGUUGGUGAGGUAAAGGCUCACCAAGGCGAUGAUACAUAGCCGACCUGAGAGGGUGAUCGGCCACAUUGGGACUGAGACACGGCCCAAACUCCUACGGGAGGCAGCAGUAGGGAAUCUUCGGCAAUGGACGAAAGUCUGACCGAGCAACGCCGCGUGAGUGAAGAAGGUUUUCGGAUCGUAAAACUCUGUUGGUAGAGAAGAACGUUGGUGAGAGUGGAAAGCUCAUCAAGUGACGGUAACUACCCAGAAAGGGACGGCUAACUACGUG
rnacentral:rRNA from 1 species